CUACGGGGGGCUGCAGUGGGGAAUAUUGGACAAUGGGGGAAACCCUGAUCCAGCAAUGCCGCGUGUGUGAAGAAGGCCUGCGGGUUGUAAAGCACUUUCGGUUGGGAGGACUGCUUCUAGCACUAAUAUUGUUGGAAGUUGACGUUACCUUCAGAAGAAGCACCGGCUAACUCCGUGCCAGCAGCCGCGGUAAUACGGAGGGUGAAAGCGUUAAUCGGAAUUACUGGGCGUAAAGCGCGCGUAGGCGGCUAGAUCAGUCGGGUGUGAAAGCCCCGGGCUUAACCUGGGAACUGCAUCCGAUACUGUCUAGCUUGAGUACAGGAGAGGAGAGUUGAAUUCCACAUGUAGCGGGGAAAUGCGUAGAUAUGUGGAGGAACACCAAUGGCGAAGGCAGCUCUCUGGCCUGAUACUGACGCUGAGGUGCGAAAGCGUGGGGAGCAAACAGGAUUAGAUACCCGGGUAGUC
rnacentral:rRNA from 1 species